rnacentral:tRNA from 1 species
UCCCUGGUGGCUCAGAUGGUAAAGCAUCUGCUUACAAUGCAGGAGACCCAGGUUCGAUCCCUGGGUUGGGAA